rnacentral:rRNA from 1 species
CAGCAGCCACGGGAAAACGUAGGGGGCUAGCGUUGUUCGGAUUUACUGGGCGUAAAGGGCGCGUAGGCGGACUAAUAAGUCAGGGGUGAAAUCCCAAGGCUCAACCUUGGAACUGCCUUUGAUACUGUUUGUCUUGAGUUCGAGAGAGGUAAGUGGAACUGCGGGUGUAGAGGUGAAAUUCGUAGAUAUUCGCAAGAACACCAGUGGCGAAGGCGGCUUACUGGCUCGAAACUGACGCUGAGGCGCGAAAGCGUGGGGAGCAAACAGGAUUAGAUACCCGAGUAGUCCCUGUCUCUUAUAC